AUAAUUAUAAACACAAUGAUCACUCAGAAUAGAUAGUUAUAUGGGAUAAU
rnacentral:guide_RNA from 1 species